AGUCUUCCCUCUUUCACUUUCUUCAUGUGAGCUGGAGCAGAAAUACGGCAAAUCACUUAUCUAGAAAAGCCACAACAUGAAUAAAACACCAGCAAGCUGAACAAGAAAACGAUUACGCCGAAACCACACCGAGCUGACCAACACCUAUGCAACAAAACCGAGCAAGUUUCACGAUCGCGUUCAACGUUCUCACAACUUUGCAUUUUAAAGCUUCAUCGAUCAACAUCAAGGUUCAGAAUCAUCGCGUUUUAUACCUCACGGCGAAGCAGCAACGAAAGAACGCGGCGAAUUCAAGAUCUAAACGCGAGUUCAACCUCCAAACGCAAAAUCAUCCUCCAAUCGUGACAAUUCAAACACGCGUGGAGUCGAAACGAAAACGGAAAGAAAAAUGAUGAAUACUCACCGAAUCGAAACAUGUACCGAUUUCCUUGAAUCGUUCUCUUUUCUUCUUCCUGUGUUACGAAUGGAUUUGUGAAUUCUUGCGUGCGUUUUGCGCUUUCCUGUUGUGUGAUGCUUCUUUGUUCUGAAUUUCUCUGUUAUGCUGCGAAUGAAAAUGGAUUGAUGAAAGACUCGAUGAAUGAAAAAUGUGGACUCUGAAAGAGAAACGUUCAGUGAAAAGAAAAGUUGAAUUCUCAUUUGAAGCAUUGUUGUUGCAGGUUACUCUUGGAGUGCUUGGUGAAAUUGGAUCAUGGUCAUGGGAUUGUUCAUGGAGUUCUUGGAUUGGAAUUUUGUUGUAAUUGGUUUAUGUUUUGAAAUUGAAAUUUGGUUGAAAUGCAAUGUGUAUGUAAUUGAAUAUAAAAGUUGAAUUGAAAUGCAAUUAUUAAGAUGGAAAUUGGGAUUUGUUGUAAUGGUGUGAUGAAAUGGGAUCAUAGAAAUGAAUGUAAUUUUGGAAUUUUGAAUGGUUGAUGUAAAAUGUAUUUGAAUAAAUUGGAAAUGGUUUAUGAUGGUUGAAAGUUAUGGAAUUAUGGAA